UACGAGGGGGGCAAAUGUUGUUCGGAAUCACUGGGCGUAAAGGGAGCGUAGGCGGGUUUCUAAGUCAGGUGUUUAAUCCCGGGGCCCAACCCCGGACAGGCACUUGAAACUGGGAAUCUUGAAUAGUGGAGAGGUCAGUGGAAUUGGGGGUGUAGCGGUGGAAUGCGUAGAGAUCCCCAAGAACACCAGUUGCGAAGGCGGCUGACUGGACACAUAUUGACGCUGGAGGCUCGAAAGCAUGGGGAGCAAACAGGG
rnacentral:rRNA from 1 species